rnacentral:snRNA from 1 species
AGACUGUGCAGACCUGGUGAAGA